GAUGAACGCUGGCGGCGUGCCUAAUACAUGCAAGUCGAGCGAACGGACGAGAAGCUUGCUUCUCUGAUGUUAGCGGCGGACGGGUGAGUAACACGUGGAUAACCUACCUAUAAGACUGGGAUAACUUCGGGAAACCGGAGCUAAUACCGGAUAAUAUUUUGAACCGCAUGGUUCAAAAGUGAAAGACGGUCUUGCUGUCACUUAUAGAUGGAUCCGCGCUGCAUUAGCUAGUUGGCAAGGUAACGGCUUACCAAGGCAACGAUGCAUAGCCGACCUGAGAGGGUGAUCGGCCACACUGGAACUGAGACACGGUCCAGACUCCUACGGGAGGCAGCAGUAGGGAAUCUUCCGCAAUGGGCGAAAGCCUGACGGAGCAACGCCGCGUGAGUGAUGAAGGUCUUCGGAUCGUAAAACUCUGUUAUUAGGGAAGAACAUAUGUGUAAGUAACUGUGCACAUCUUGACGGUACCUAAUCAGAAAGCCACGGCUAACUACGUGCCAGCAGCCGCGGUAAUACGUAGGUGGCAAGCGUUAUCCGGAAUUAUUGGGCGUAAAGCGCGCGUAGGCGGUUUUUUAAGUCUGAUGUGAAAGCCCACGGCUCAACCGUGGAGGGUCAUUGGAAACUGGAAAACUUGAGUGCAGAAGAGGAAAGUGGAAUUCCAUGUGUAGCGGUGAAAUGCGCAGAGAUAUGGAGGAACACCAGUGGCGAAGGCGACUUUCUGGUCUGUAACUGACGCUGAUGUGCGAAAGCGUGGGGAUCAAACAGGAUUAGAUACCCUGGUAGUCCACGCCGUAAACGAUGAGUGCUAAGUGUUAGGGGGUUUCCGCCCCUUAGUGCUGCAGCUAACGCAUUAAGCACUCCGCCUGGGGAGUACGACCGCAAGGUUGAAACUCAAAGGAAUUGACGGGGACCCGCACAAGCGGUGGAGCAUGUGGUUUAAUUCGAAGCAACGCGAAGAACCUUACCAAAUCUUGACAUCCUUUGACAACUCUAGAGAUAGAGCUUUCCCCUUCGGGGGACAAAGUGACAGGUGGUGCAUGGUUGUCGUCAGCUCGUGUCGUGAGAUGUUGGGUUAAGUCCCGCAACGAGCGCAACCCUUAAGCUUAGUUGCCAUCAUUAAGUUGGGCACUCUAAGUUGACUGCCGGUGACAAACCGGAGGAAGGUGGGGAUGACGUCAAAUCAUCAUGCCCCUUAUGAUUUGGGCUACACACGUGCUACAAUGGACAAUACAAAGGGCAGCGAAACCGCGAGGUCAAGCAAAUCCCAUAAAGUUGUUCUCAGUUCGGAUUGUAGUCUGCAACUCGACUACAUGAAGCUGGAAUCGCUAGUAAUCGUAGAUCAGCAUGCUACGGUGAAUACGUUCCCGGGUCU
rnacentral:rRNA from 1 species